rnacentral:rRNA from 1 species
CCUACGGGAGGCAGCAGUGGGGAAUAUUGGGCAAUGGGCGCAAGCCUGACCCAGCAACGCCGCGUGAAGGAAGAAGGCUUUCGGGUUGUAAACUUCUUUUGUCAGGGAAGAGUAGAAGACGGUACCUGACGAAUAAGCCACGGCUAACUACUUGCCAGCAGCCGCGGUAAUACGUAGGUGGCAAGCGUUGUCCGGAUUUACUGGGUGUAAAGGGCGUGUAGCCGGGUUGACAAGUCAGAUGUGAAAUCCUGCGGCGUAACCGCAGAACUGCAUUUGACACUGUUGAUCUUGAGUACUGGAGAGGCGGACGGAAUUCGUAGUGUAGCGGUGAAAUGCGUAGAUAGUAGGAGGAACACCAGUGGCGAAGGCGGUCUGCUGGACAGCAACUGACGGUGAGGCGCGAAAGCGUGGGGAGCAAACAGGAUUAGAUACCCUUGUAGUC